GAUGAACGCUAGCUACAGGCUUAACACAUGCAAGUCGAGGGGCAGCAGGGAUUUAGCUUGCUAAAUCCGCUGGCGACCGGCGCACGGGUGCGUAACGCGUAUCCAACUUUCCCGUUACUCAGGGAUAGCCUUCCGAAAGGGAGAUUAAUACCGCAUGAGACCACACUACCGCAUGGUAGAGGGGUCAAAGAUUAAUCGCUGAGAGGUGGGCUCGCGUCUGAUUAGAUAGUUGGUGGGGUAACGGCCUACCAAGUCGACGAUCAGUAGCCGACCUGAGAGGGUGAUCGGCCACAUUGGGACUGAGACACGGCCCAGACUCCUACGGGAGGCAGCAGUGGGGGAUAUUGCACAAUGGGCGAAAGCCUGAUGCAGCGACGCCGCGUGAGGGAAGACGGUUUUCGGAUUGUAAACCUCUGUCUUCGGGGACGAAAAUGACGGUACCCGAGGAGGAAGCCACGGCUAACUACGUG
rnacentral:rRNA from 1 species